rnacentral:rRNA from 1 species
UACGGGGGGAGCAAGCGUUGUUCGGAUUUACUGGGCGUAAAGAGCGCGCAGGCGGUCGUUCAAGUCGCGUGUGAAAGCCCCCGGCUCAAUUGGGGAGGGUCACGCGAUACUGAUCGACUCGAAGGCAGGAGAGGGUAGUGGAAUUCCCGGUGUAGUGGUGAAAUGCGUAGAUAUCGGGAGGAACACCAGUGGCGAAGGCGGCUACCUGGCCCACUCUUGACGCUGAGGCGCGAAAGCUAGGGGAGCAAACGGG